UGGCUUGGCCUGGGCCCCAACUGGAAAAAUAUGACUGGAUGGCUGCUCCCAUACGCGAGAUCUCUCCCAGCUCAGGCAGAAAGAAGGAGUGCCGUGACCCAGCUGCAGGGACCCAUGGGAGAGCUCAAAAGGCACAGAUUUUGGAAGUCAGAGUUUUAGUCAUCAAAACAGUCAUGCUGGGAAUAUUUAGCACAGCUGAGUGCUUCGUCCGAGUUCUGGCAGUUUUGGCCGGGUAGCUUAAAAAUAGAAAGCUGGGAAGUAAACAUGGACAUGUCAAUGUCCUUACAAAGCAAGAUUUCACAUCCCUGAGAACUUGGGCUUCAAAUUUCUCUUCUGGCGUAGGGAGAAAGGCAAGGAAAUCUUUGAAAACUCUCAUGGAAUAAGAGUAAAUCCAUGGAAAUCUAUUUAUGUUAGCAGAGGGUCUGACUGUGCGCAUUUAUUCUGCUCUGUGUAAUUAGCACCAUUGCCUCCUGGUAAUUAUUUUACUCUCCAUGAAGGAUUACACAGCCAUUAACCUGGAAGGAAGAGAAAAAGAAGAAGUAGGGGCAUGUGGGAAAGACUUUGAACACCAGAUUCAUUCACUGGUUAGGAACAAAAGAGCGUAUUUAGAAGCUUAAUUAAUGAAAAGUCUGUCUCAAGGCAACUGCAGCUUACUACUAAUAGAUAUCAUGAAAAAUCAUCAAUUCACUGCUGCAAAUGAGGGUUUGCUGGCUCCAGACUGUUGAACAGGGUUCUUCCCUCUAUGCUUCUUUGCAAUCUAAUGGUAAGUGAUGUCCAGAACUGAGUUUUCCUGCAGGCCUGUAUGCAAUUAGUGUGAUUUCUUGGCACUGAAUGCUAAUGAUUCACCUGGAUUGAGUCACACAUGAGGCAAUGUGGCUCUGGAAUUCUUCCCGCUACAACCGCUGUGCUCAGCAAAUCUGGGAGGUGAGUACAAAGGAUCUUGCAACUGCUAAGCCUUCUAGGGAAAAGGAGAGGCUUAAGAGGAGUUCAGCAGUCACCUGCACUGAUCACAGCCAUGGAUUUUAUAAAUCAAAUCUCCUCUGCUGGAGAAAAGUAACUUCUGGGUAUCCAAGAUUUGAAGGGAGAUGCCAUAGGUAGAAGGCUGAGCUUGGGAACAGCAUGGGUGUUGGGAAGGUAUCACGGAGCUCCACAAAACUGAGAGAAGCCAAGGAGCAAAGAGCAACAGAGGAGAGGUUCCAGAACCCGCCCUGCUGCAUCAGCCAUGGGGCAAAUGGCACAGGCCUGGGGAUAGGCAACAGCCCAUUUGGAAAGAAGACAGGCAGAGAUGCAAAGAAGGCAGGGGAGGCAUCGCUUGGCAUUUGGGGAGCAUAGGGGCAGCUUGUGCUGCAGGUGGCGGUGCCAUGAAGAACAGAGUGAAAGAAAAUGCAACAUUCUUAAUGUGAUGCUGGUUUUACUGGGCAGCUGAGGCUCUGUUGUUCUCAGCAGGGUGCGAUGGGAAGUGGCACAGGGUUGCAAGAUUUUCCAUCGGUGUGGAUGGAUAACUCCAGCAGCCCCUCCCCUGCCCACUGUUAUGCAGCAGCACUACAAUCUAGAUCAAGUAUUUAUUAAGAGGCUUUUUACUGGGCAAAUUACACAUCACUGGGCCCCACCUGUGGGCAUUUGUGACGUAUGGUUGUUGCAGUGUCCCUGCUAUCCUCAGUGCCUCAAUGACACCACUGCUGGUAUAGGCUGAAAGCUGUCUGUGUGCUCUUUGAAAGUGGGAUUGCAAUGGGUUACCCAGAAUAUGUGCAUGGGGCAGGGCAGGAGGUGAGCAAUCAGCCUGAAGAGUCCAUGAGUGAAUAUUCACAUACAUGCCCAACACACUGAAGUGUUCCUUUGUAUGCAGGAGUGCAUUAGCUCAUCACAUCGAGCAGUCUGCAAUUGACUUAACAGCUGGAACAGGCGGAUGACAUGAACAUUUCUGCUUUGGUUUUCAAGAUCUGUGUUGCUUGAACCUGUUUAUCCUGUGUCUAGCUCCAUGAUCUGAUUAAAUCAAAAGUCAGCAAAAGGAUUAAGCUCAAAAUUAUGAUGUUUGCCCAGCAGUUCUCUUUAAGGUAUCGAAAUAGCUUGCCUAUAAAAAGCUGUACAUGUUUUUUUUCCCAGAGCUACUUUCCUUGCCUUGUAUGAUAUGCCCAGUAUAUCCCAGUAUAUUGGCCUUCAGGGGCAUAGAUGGCAUCUUGGCCAUCUUCAUUUGGCCAUAUGUUAGUGCAUCCAGGGGAGGAAGGUGUUCAGAUGUGCAGGUGAAGCAGGCAGAUCUCCUGCUAGGUCCCGCCAUCUUGUUGACACAGAUGGCAUUACUAGGGUUUCUGAAAAUAGAGGGUUACCAGUGGUUACUGUAAGACACCUUUUCCCUUCCUGUCUUUUCCUCAGAAAUAGCUAAAGAAAGCUGGCCUCAGUUAAUGGGCCCGAGGCAGAGAUAGGAUGGAGGGCUUUAGCCCAAAUGACUAAGCCCUAAACAAAACAUAACUGAGGGAAAAUGGGUUUCUGAGAGGAAGUUAGAAGUAGCAAUGCCAACCUCACCUCGAGAAGGCAUUAUGUCAACCAAGCUCAUCAUUUUGUGGUUUCAGUCCUCUGCAAGGUUUGUAAUAGGCUGUGAACUUUUUCCCUCAUAUUCUUGAUCACAUCAAGAGAUAUCCUUAAUUAGAAAAUCAUUUGGACAGUGCCUAGGUGAAAUAAGGGAUUUAAAGACUCUCUCGUAGUUAAUGUGGUUUCUAAGUCCCUGCUUUUGCUAUGAUUCCUUCAGCUGUUUUAACACUGGUUCUGCACAGAGCAGCUUAUGAAUAGCACAAUUGUUAGUUUUAAAUGAAAAUAUAUAAAUAAUUGUAUACAUCAAUGCAUGCAAAAUCAAAAAAUAAAAUUAAAAAAAACCAACCAACCUGCCAAACAAAAACAAAACAAAACAAAAACCACAUGGAGAAUCUUUAAGAAUAUGAACUCUAAUUUUUGAAAACUAAAUAAGCUUAUUGUAAUGCAGUUCACCAGUAUGAAGUGGUAUAUGAGGUGGUUUAUGCCUGUCUGGCUUUCUUUUCUUCUAAAAAUGAAUACUAGAAUUGUUACAAUCUCUUUUAUACUGAAAGUAGUGCCUUUGUGAAGGAUGGAGAUGGAUGAGCAAUUCUCUCUUGUAGUGAUGCCAGUAUAAUUAAAGAGGUAGAAACAGGAGUGGAAAUUGCUUCUUCACAUGAAUGAUUGCAUCAGGGAUGCAAUACAGAGGUGAAAGAAAAGCAGGGAAUGCCUUAAGGUUGGCCCUCUUGUGACCGUCACACCUGCUGUGGUAUAUAUGUAGAUGGUCAGCCCCUUUCAGAUCAAUCACUCAAAAUUGCCUUAUUUGAUUUUUUUUACCGUUCAGUAUUUCACAUUCAUCUCUUCAAAGCCAAACGCUCUCAAAUUUCAGGUCCUUUUCCCUUUAUUUCAGGUCCCCAUUUCCCUUUAUUAUGGACUUCUUUGUGUGCAUUACAAAGCUUAGCUGCCUCCCAGGUUCUGGCUAGUGCUCUGCUGUCCUCAGGCAACCACAUCUCAAAACCUCAAAUAUAAACAGCUCAGGCUCUACCUUGAGAACACUCUUUCCAGUACUCAUCCCUACAAGGAGCACAUCCUUCCAGCCCCAAGAGUUAGAAGCUGUCUACUUCCAAACCAAAAUCCCUUGUGGGACAACCUGGCCCCACUGAUCCUGGUGUCACCACUGAAGCAGAAAACCAAUGCCUGCACUCUCCACAGUGCAUAGCCCCACAGCACAGCAUGGUCAGACACACAGCUCCAGCCCUGUCAGAUCCAGUUUGCCCAACUGCUGACUGUCUCUGAUCUCUUUUGCUCAAGAAGCAAUGGUGGAAGAUCAUAUGCUAUGAAGUACUGGAAAUCAUCAUCUUUUCUCUUCCCACUGGGGCCGCUGCUCCACACUGUGGAUACUCCUUGCUUGUGUUAGUGCUAAAUUCACAAUAGACACAUAAGGAAAUACAAUCAACAACAACAGCAACAACAACAACAGCACAAAACAAACAAAAAAACACACACCUUCAAUGUCAGGACUGCUCCCUUUGGUGGCCACACCAGCCUCCUGAGAGAAAAAUCCUCUUUCAUUGCCUCCUAUAUUCAUCUUCCUUUCACAUACAGAACCAGGUUGAGCAGAGCAUCCCAGACGAAGUCUCACCAGCUUCUGUACCUUCAUGGCCUUCAUCCUUCCUCAUAUCUACUGGAAACACAUCCUCACCCCUUACAUCCACAGAGUAAACACACCACCAUCAGCACCAUGCCAUGUUGAUGAGUCUUGGACCUCCUGCAUGUGGAUGAAGCACUGAGGUCUUCCCAGUCAUUCCUAAGUGUCAGUGACCUGUUUCAUGGCCAAAGCUCCAUUGUUACUCUGUGAGCUCAUGCUCAGAGCAACUAAAUUUGAUCCUCUUCUUCUGCCAUUCAUGCUCCACUAGGACAUGCAAGCUCUCCCUCUCCACAGCCAUUUUCCACCUUCCUCCUGUAGGAAGAGCUCCAGCAGCUUUCUCCCAAUGCUAGUGCCUUCCUCACUGCUCACAUCACCCUGGCCGGUUCCUUACGCCAUCAAAACACUCCUACUAAUUCCCACCUUAAUGCAUAAUUUCCUGUAUGGCACUUUAUCAACUGCCCUGGGAAACAAGGUGGGUACAUGCUGUACAUCUUAUCUGGAAGAUCAGUUCUAUCAAAGAAAGCUAACAGGUUAGGCUGGCAUGGUUGACUUGGGGUAAUGUUAUCUCAUCUUCUAUUGCUUCCAUAGUGAUAAUUGCUCAUUUCUUCAAAGUUUCUUUCAAAGCCUUUCAUUGCAUUGAGGUAAGAUUAAUCUAACCGGUGGCUGUCCUGAGCUCACCUUUCCUCUCUACUUGUUUUAACUUUGUACACAAAUGCUGUGUGUUAUUUGCCAUAAUAUUUGCUCCAGAUUAGAUCAUGUGGGCUUUAAACCUUCUCUGCAGAAGUGUUUAGCUGUGUUUUGAUGCAUACUUUUAGCAGAAAGUAAUAACUAUGAAGCAAACAUACAGUGCUCAAGAGCACACAGAGUCAUGUUUUCUGAAGACUUUCUGCAAAACGAGCUGGCCAGAGGAAACCUUACCCAUGACUUCACUGGAGAAAGGAGUAGUUUGCUCACUGAGGAAAGCCAAAGCACAAUGGCACAGUGGGGUGAUGAAGGAAAAUAUGGCAUCACUGUCCAGGACUUGGAGAGCAGGAUGUUGUUAUUGGCCAUGUAUCUGUCCACCUAAAAUAUUUAUACAUCUCCCCAUCAUCUUUUAAUUGAGCACUCGGCAGCCCUUAAUGGGUUUAUUCUCUUCUGAGGCAGGGAAAUUAACAUUUUUCACUUUACAGGAUAAAAAGUAAGGCAUGGGGGGGACUAGAUUCAUGCCAUAUAAUACCAUAUUAACAAACAUAUACAUAAUAGCCUGUAAUGGCUAUUUUAAAAUCUUUAGCUGUACUCUUUAUUAUGCACUGUUUCUUUGCAGUGUAACAAAAAUAAAAGUGACCCAGUGUGGGAAAAUGGCUUACAGUAACCAAACGUGUGGAGCAGGUUUUUGUGGCAAAAGAAAGAAUCUCACAACCUCAGUGGUGCUGUAACUUUUACCUUUGCUAAUUAGCAAAAUGUAUUUGUAGUCAAAACGCACCCCUUACAGGCAUUAAUCUGUAAAUACAUAAUAUGCAUUUAAACUCAUUUUAAGAUGUUUCUCUGCAGUAAGCCUUUCAUUUUUAAUGCGUUUGAACACUUGUAUGCAUUUACCAUUAUAAAAUGGAUGAUGCUCGGUGUUUCAUUGGUGAGAGCUACACAACUGUACCAUUGAAAGGCUUGGCCCCACAAGGUUUUUGGUGCUGCUAACUCAUGCUGAAGCCAUACUCCAACGUUAGCAAGCACUUACCAUCUGUGUUUGCACUGCUUCCUUCGCUAACACCUUGUGUUGCCACUUAGCACAAACUCCACAAAGGAUUUUGGUCCUUUACUCUAUUUUUUAAUUAUUAUUUUUGCAAACAGGCAGGGAACCUGGAAGUAUUACCUUAGAUAUGCACUAGAGGAUGCUCUUGGGUCAUCAGUGAGAGACAAGCUGCUUCCUCCUGUUCUCAACCUGCAGUGGCUCAAGAUGUUUUCCGGGCUCAGAAGGUGUUUCACGGCUUAGACAGUACUCUGAGGCUUAGAGGAGAUAAGAACAAAUGUUCACGUAGUGUAAUGUAAAUGAUAAAGUAGUGACAAAACCUCCCCCUCCUUGCUUGUGCAACCGUAUUACUGUUCAAUAUAAGUAGUACAUGUUUAAAGUCUGCCUACAUUCAGACAGGAACAUGGACAAGCCCAAUUGUUUGUUUGUUUGUUUGUUUGUUUUUCUAAUCACCUAUUGAUUAUACAUUACAUGGGAUGAGUUGUAUUUUGGCUGGAGCAUGGAGGGCAAACGUCAGCUAAAGGCCAUUUCUAACCUUGUCUGGCUGUCACUGUUAGUGCUGAGAGCAAGGAAGAAAGGACAGGAGGGGAUCUGGGUGGCUCUGCACAGUGCCAGGAGGGGAAUGGCUCAUGUGGAGGCCAGCAGGAUGUCAGCACACACACACUGAGCACCUGAGUGAUCCUGAUUGUUUUAUCUAAAAGCACCUUUUUCAUCAAGCUGCCUAAUUUUACAGUAUGGAAACGGCUGCAGUGCAUUGGAACAAAUUUGGUGUAAUGGAACACCUGCAUGCAAAUGCAGGCUGUCAGGUGAGCAUCGAACUGAGAGUAGAGAAAGGACUCCAAAUGAAGGCCUUGUCAUUUCUGGGGGAGCUGGAAAACCCAGGGGGGAUUUUUGUUUUUAAAGAACAGAUCAAGUUUUUUCAAAACAAAAGACAAAGGAAAACCCACCACAAAAUGCCACGCUGAUUUCAUCAUGAGGCGACAUGAGGAGGUUGUGACUGUAAUAACCACUCUGAAACUCCAGCCUGGGUGGCUUCUGAGGGAACAGAGCUUAUGAGGCCAUAAGAAAACUCUCUCAGGAGCAAGGAAGGCUUCAUCCUUCACUCUCAGCACUCCAUUCAGCAGAACUCCUUUCAAACACAAACCUCCUGGGCUUGGAACCUGCGUGAGAGACAGACAGAUCAUGAGGAAGGCCCUGUGUGAAGCGCAGGAGCACACACUGGGUUAUACCACAUCCCUGGAGAUGCACAGGGAAAGCAUCCCAGGGCAACAUACACCUGUCUCACAAAGCUCCAUGGAGACAGAGCUCAAACAGCUCUCCUUCUUCAAGCAACACAAAGGCAAACCAGAGAUCUAAUCAACAUGGCCUGCUCAGGCUGGGACAAUUGCACAAAGAGUCAUCAGAGAUCCUGAGUGUUGACUGCGCCCUUUCCCUUGCAUCAUGGGAAAGCAAUGCUCAAUGCACAGAGCUGGAAAGGGCCCAAGACCACCGAUUCAUUCUGUGAAGACCAGCGGGCUGCCAGCAGCCUUAAACAACUGUUGAUCACCAACACCAACAAAUUCCAAACAGAUUACCAAAAAAGGACAAGGCCAAAACCCAUUUCUGGGCUAUAAAAACAGAUUCCUCCAACGGCUGUUACGUGCUUUUUCCCAAAUCCCUUCUACAAAGAGGCCUGCACUCAGACACCCUGAUACAAAGAUACCAUCUGAUCUAAAGAGAAAAAAGGAGGAAGAAGGAGCUGAAGCAAGUAUAAUCUUUGACAGGAUACAAACAAAUAGCCAGUGAAUGCUCCAUGAACACAGCACUCAGACCUGGUUUUCACUACAUCAGAGGAAUGAUGGAAAGUUGCCUGUGGCUAAAGGCAGCCAUUAGUACUGGGGCAGGACCCUGGCUGCACGAGGGCAGGACACAUCACCUUCCACCUGCUUGAAGCCAAUAGGGAGAAGAAGCUCCUGCUCAGCAAGCCCAUCUGAAGAGCAGAGCUGGUGGGACAAACAGGAAAGGAGCUAUUGCAUAAGAAGUGCUGGGCUGCAGGACAGGGAACGUCUGUCCCAGCCUUGCUGUUGCGAUCACAUUCUUCCAGCUGGUUGCUGCGCUAGCUCUGUACCAGGUGAGAGCAUGCAGCUGGUGCUCAGUGUCCUAGAGAGAGGGUAAGCACACCAAUUUCUGCAGCAUACAUAGCUGUGCUUUUGCUAUCUGCCAAGACAAUAAAUACCAUGCAUUUUGUCUCUGCAACUCGGUACCCCCCAGGAAUAAGCAAUGUAGGUGCUGUGAGUGCCAUAAGAAGAACACACCUUUCCCCUCACUGCUCCCUCAGCAAAGACAGCAGCCGUGGCAAUCCCACCCAAGGAGGAAAACACAAAGAGGCAUCCUGCAGGGGCCACAUCACAGAGCAGGAGACUUUCUCUCAGCAGAGGCAAGCACAAAGCUACCUUCAGUGUCAAAUUCUUUGACAUAACUCAAGGAUACACUCACAGUGUUUCUAGCAGGGUUUGUCUGAAAGGAUCUCAUUUGACCACAUCAGGUCUGCCCAGAGAAAAACCUCACAGUGUAAAUAGCAGAAGUGAGGCAGUGCAGACAAAGCUGUUCCCCAGCCCAGGGAGCAGCAACUCAAUCGCACACCCAUCCCAGAGGGGACUGGACAAACGGUCAAGGAAAACAUUUUUUCUCAGCAUCCUACCAGAAUAAGAACACGAGGGAAGGAAAGAGGAAGCAGGCAGAAGAAUAAGCUAUUUUUUUCAACAUAGAGGAGAAAAGGAAACAUAUAUCUUUCCUUUCUGUCUUUCUUUCCUUCCUUGUAUAGAAUCAUAGAAUCAUUAAUGUUGGAAAAGACCACUAAGAUCAUCUAGCUCAACCAUCACCACCAUGCCCACUAACCGUGUCCCUUUUUGCUCCCUUUUCAAAAGGUGAGGGAUCACAGAUUGAUGCACACCAUACUCCAGGUUGUUCUCGCCCUUUGGUACCUGUUGGUCUCGAUACUUGUCUGUUUUUUGUGAAGAAUUUGGAGACUGGCAUGUGCAUGGGCACCGCACCAGGACUAAUGAGGCAAGAGCCUGAUCUCAGCUUGGCUGGUGCAGCUCAAGCUCAGUUCAAACAUUACACCCAACCCAGGCUCUGGCACCAUGUUCCCACUUCGGCUGCACCAUAGAAUCAUUAAAGGUGGAAAGACCGCUAAGGUCAUCUAGUCCAACCAUCAAACCACACAGCCUCUCACUCAGGUUCCACAAGUCCAGUCCCCACUUUGAGCAAACACAUUACAACCGGCUACCUCACUGCAGUCAUGCAUUAGCUGCUGCUACGAUCACAACCUGGAGCAGGCCCAGGCCUCCAUUUCCACAUGGAAAAAGGGAAAACCAUUAAGGAACAUCAGCCUGUCCUCCAUUGCCAUAUCAGUUACAUCACAGCUGUUAAGAUCAGGGCUGCCCACAGUUAAACAUCCCUUUCAUAAGAUCACAGAAUCACCAAAGUUGGAGAAGACCUCCAAGAUCAUCUAGUCCAACCGUUCACCUAUCACCACUAUUUCCCACUCAACUACGUCCAUCCCUCAACCAGAAGCAGCUUAGCAGAGGAGAACACCCCCUCAUUCCCCUUAGAAUCUGCUUCACCCCAAAAUGGUACCAAGGAGCUGAGAGCUGCUGACCUCCCAGCUCUGCGUGCAGCAGGCGCUCCUCUCAGCCUCAUCAUUUCUUCCCAGCUAAGCAAUCACAGAGUGGAGCGAGGCUCUCUACUUUAGUUUCUAAACUGAAAAAAAAAUAA